GUUAGAAGAAAGUUUGCCAAUUGUAUAAUCCCUUUUCUAAAAUAUCAGGAGAAAAAGGGAUAAUUUCUGAAUGUUCCAAGUGUCUUCCUCUACUAUGUAUUCCAUCCAUCCGUCCGUCUGUCCAUCUGUCCAGCCACUCACCCCUGCACUUCCAACAUUGUGUUGCCUUCUUUUGACCAAAUGCUGUACUAGGCACUGAGGAUAAAGACCCAUCUGCUAACAACCUCAAGGAAGUUCCAGUCCGGAGGGACACGGUUGUAUGAUCAGACCAUGAGCCAGAACAUUACUGUUAGAGUGGAAGCAAGUACUCAACACAAAAGGAACGAAGCCCAUGGCUUCCAGCAGCUGAGGCUGAUUGUGAGUGAGUUCAUGGAACAGUUCUUGAUAACUGCUUUUAAUUCCCUUUGGGUAUAUUUUCAAGGAAAUUUAGAAACAGCAAAACCUAGAAUCCAAUUUGAUAUGUAUAAACGUUUAAUCCUUUGGGGGCGUAUUUGGUCCUUCUGUUUCUCCGCUUCUCUCCUUUACCUUCAGGCUCCUGACCUUGUGGAAGGCAGGUUGCUAGUCUGUUUCCUUUGUUUAGGGCAUCUUGUGCUUUCCCUUCCCAUCCACACCCCCUCUCACGACAGCAGACAUUUCAGGACCCCAGCGAGCUCGGGCCGGCAGAGCAAGUUGACAUGUGGGAGCGGGAGAGGUCAUCUUUCACAGAAGAGUUCAAGCUUGGAAAUAAUGGAGUUUAUAGAGAAAAGAUUUAUUUUUUAAAAGCUCUAGAUCAGAACUACUACACAGUGCUUUUAAAAAGUGUUUAAGGAAACAAAGUUUACAGACAGAAGCCCUAAGUGGAAAGGUCCUAUGGUUUUGUAGAUAGUGACUCCAGUCUUUGUUGUAUAAAGGUUGGGGGAACUGACAAGGUUUUUGUACAGUAUUUUCUCCUUCGUUGUAUUGACUUUUGUAUAAAAAUGUAACUUUACGUGUCUAACACGUAUUAAAUAUUUUGAAGCAACUUCACUGCCUCCUUGUGUGUAAAUCGCCUGUCCGGGUUGUGAGGGAAGUGGGAGGAGGGCACCUAUGGUCCUCCUGGAAAAUUGAAGAUGUGGUUCUUAAUACCGGUUGUGCAGACUGGGGACAUUGUUUGCUGACUUCAUUAAUUAUGGAGAGAGGCACAUUUAAGCUUUCUCCCUCACAUCAGAAGACUGCUGUUAGGUACUAAUAUCAGUGGUCUGCCAGUUUCUUGAAACCUGCCACUAAAACUCCCUUUUCUAAAGUCAAUUUAGGCAAUUUGAUUUUUAGCCCAAUCUGACAAUGUCCAAUAUUAAAUAGCCUAAGUGCCAACUUCUGAGGCCCUUCCCAUCCACAAAAGUGUUUUUCACUAAAACUUUUAGUUUCCUGUUAUUAAUAAAACCUGAGGGAAACUGCUGAGACUGACA
rnacentral:lncRNA from 1 species